GGCAGUGGUCAAAGAAAUGUGAGGAGGAGAAAGGAAAGAUAAGCACAAGGAGAAAAACAAAGGAAGAGGAAAAAUGUAAGAGUCUGUUCCUGGAACUUCACAGCAUUACAGUACUCUGUCUGAAGUAAACCUGUCUCUGGUUCUAACUGAAGCUUGACUUGUGAAGGGAGAAGGCUUUAUUGACUGAGCUUCCCUGCAGAUGCUUCCUUCUAAACAAUUGCCCCUUAUGUAAGUUAUUACCAGGUUUGUAUGCAUUUUAUUCAAUGAGUGGAGAUAGAAAAAUAGCAGUUUUCACCUUCAAUGGCCUGUAGGUUUUUUUUUUCCUAAAGGAUUAUAUAAAAUAAUUUUUGGUUUUGUUUUAGUGAGUGAUGCAUUUACCCAAAGCAAUGGUGCAUUGGUACUUACUGGGAUUUCACUGAGAAGAAGCAAAGUAACUUGUCACACCAAAAGUGUGACAGUGACUUUAACAGUGACUGAACCUUUCAGUCAGUAUUGCAAGUUAUGUUCUCCUUGCUUAUCGUUGAUGUUGAGGAGCACCAAAAUGACAACAUAAUGUUGAUACUAGGAUCAGUGUACAGGUUGUCAAACUGUGGCUGAUCAGACCAAUAUAACUCAGAAAGUACCACAUAGCUUGGGCGCAAAUAUGUUCCUACUUCACUCAGGG